CCUACGGGAGGCUGCAGUGGGGAAUAUUGGACAAUGGGGGCAACCCUGAUCCAGCCAUGCCGCGUGUGUGAAGAAGGCCCUCGGGUUGUAAAGCACUUUCAGUGAGGAAGAACGCCUGGUGGUUAAUACCCAUCAGGAAAGACAUCACUCACAGAAGAAGCACCGGCUAACUCCGUGCCAGCAGCCGCGGUAAUACGGAGGGUGCGAGCGUUAAUCGGAAUUACUGGGCGUAAAGCGCGCGUAGGUGGCUUGAUAAGCCGGUUGUGAAAGCCCCGGGCUCAACCUGGGAACGGCAUCCGGAACUGUCAAGCUAGAGUGCAGGAGAGGAAGGUAGAAUUCCCGGUGUAGCGGUGAAAUGCGUAGAGAUCGGGAGGAAUACCAGUGGCGAAGGCGGCCUUCUGGACUGACACUAACACUGAGGUGCGAAAGCGUGGGUAGCAAACAGGAUUAGAUACCCGAGUAGUC
rnacentral:rRNA from 1 species